rnacentral:rRNA from 1 species
GACCAGACUCCUACGGGAGGCAGCAGUGAGGAAUAUUGGUCAAUGGUCGGGAGACUGAACCAGCCAAGCCGCGUGAGGGAGGAAGGUACAGAGUAUCGUAAACCUCUUUUGUCAGGGAACAAAGACUGGGACGCGUCCCCGGAUGAGUGUGCCUGAAGAAAAAGCAUCGGCUAACUCCGUGCCAGCAGCCGCGGUAAUACGGAGGAUGCGAGCGUUAUCCGGAUUUAUUGGGUUUAAAGGGUGCGCAGGCGGUCUGUUAAGUCAGCGGUCAAAGCCGGGGGCUCAACCUCGCUCCGCCGUUGAAACUGGCGUUCUUGAGUGGGCGAGAAGUAUGCGGAAUGCGUGGUGUAGCGGUGAAAUGCAUAGAUAUCACGCAGAACUCCGAUUGCGAAGGCGGCAUACCGGCGCCCAACUGACGCUGAAGCACGAAAGCGUGGGUAUCGAACAGGAUUAGAUACCCUUGUA